rnacentral:lncRNA from 1 species
GGACUUACCAAUUUGGGCUCCGUCCAGGAGCUGAAAACUGAUUACAAAUAUGAAACGGAUUUCACUACAGGACUUGAACUCUACAUUAAAAAACAAUGAGCUUCCCAAAAUAAUUGAAAAAGAUCUUCACCCAAGAGUAGCUGCAAUGUGAAUGGCAGGAUAUGAAGCAAGUAAAAGAGUUGGCAUGGCAGAGCCAGGCCUUUUUUCUGUACUUGGGGAUCUCAGCAUGUCCUCAGAGCCUGAGAGAACCAGCCUGUGCCAAGUAUCUGUGUGGUCUAGGCUGGGUCUCUGGUCAACAGGAUUCUCAUUGAGCCACAGUGACUCUUCUCCCUCAUGGAUUCAGGCCCUUCACCAUGGCUCUGAUGGUGAAAAGAUUAUCUUAAGCUGGGAAUUAAGUGAUGAAAGGGACCUUGGAAAUUAUCAACUCUAA